rnacentral:rRNA from 1 species
GCAUAUCAAUAAGCGGAGGAAAAGAAACCAACAGGGAUUGCCUCAGUAACGGCGAGUGAAGCGGCAACAGCUCAAAUUUGAAAUCUGGCUCUUUCAGGGUCCGAGUUGUAAUUUGUAGAAGAUGCUUUGGGUGUGGCCCUGGUCUAAGUUCCUUGGAACAGGACGUCAUAGAGGGUGAGAAUCCCGUAUGUGACUGGGUGUCCACGCCCGUGUAAAGCUCUUUCGACGAGUCGAGUUGUUUGGGAAUGCAGCUCAAAAUGGGUGGUAAAUUUCAUCUAAAGCUAAAUAUUGGCCAGAGACCGAUAGCGCACAAGUAGAGUGAUCGAAAGAUGAAAAGCACUUUGGAAAGAGAGUUAAACAGUACGUGAAAUUGUUGAAAGGGAAGCGCUUGCAAUCAGACUUGCGCGCCGUUGAUCAUCCAGGGUUCUCUCUGGUGCACUCUGCGGCGCUCAGGCCAGCAUCGGUUCGGGUGGUGGGAUAAAGGCCUUGGGAAUGUAGCUCCUCUCGGGGAGUGUUAUAGCCCUCGGUGCAAUGCCGCCUACCUGGACCGAGGACCGCGCUUCGGCUAGGAUGCUGGCGUAAUGGUUGUAAGCGACCCGUCUUGAAACACGGACCAAGGAGUCUAACAUCUAUGCGAGUGUUUGGGUGUCAAACCCAUGCGCGUAAUGAAAGUGAACGUUGGUAUGAACCCUUAAGGGUGCAAUAUCGACCGAUCCUGAUGUCUUCGGACGGAUUUGAGUAUGAGCAUAGCUGUUGGGACCCGAAAGAUGGUGAACUAUGCCUGAAUAGGGUGAAGCCAGAGGAAACUCUGGUGGAGGCUCGCAGCGGUUUCUGACGUGCAAAUCGAUCGUCAAAUUUGGGGUAUAGGGGGCGAAAGACUAAUCGAACCAUCUAGUAGCUGGGUUCCUGCCGAG